AAAGCACACCUGAAAAAUGCCCUCAUAAGACCAACUAAAUGAUCAAUAAAGUAAAUUAGUAUUUUAAGACUAAUGACUUCUUCACCGCAAGACAAUGGCUAAAAGAACAUAGGUUCAAAAUGUAUAGAGAAAUGCUUCCUCCACCACGAGUCAGCCUCCUCAUUUUCUGCAGCAUUUUCCAUCUGUGUCAUUGGCGUAGUACACACGUGCCUGACCUAGAUGUUUACUGGCAUUUGCAGCAUCGUGAUUAUCUUCCUCAUCAUUAUCUUUGAAGCCCAACUGAAAUGAUGCCCUGUAACUACGGGUCUGUGAGUUGUUUUGGAACAGGAUGUAUCAGCCUGUCAGCAUUGUUUGAGAGCUCAAGAACUAUUUGCUGACUAGCUAAAGAAUCUUCAGGUUGAAACAGAAUCUUAAAGAUCUGAGGUAAAUGAAUACAGUUAAGUGUAACUGAAGAGGAACCGGUAAGAAAAGCAACAGAACUGAAGAAUAGCAAUUUCCCCGAGAGAGAGAGAGUGAAAGAAAAAGUAAGUAAAGGAAACAAGAAUGAAAAGUAGUUUAUCAUACAUCGAGUAGAAAAUCAC